rnacentral:rRNA from 1 species
UAACUGGAGAGUUUGAUCCUGGCUCAGAAUGAACGCUGGCGGCGUGCCUAACACAUGCAAGUCGCACGAGAAAGUCUGCUUUCGGGCGGGCGAGUAAAGUGGCGCACGGGUGAGUAACGCGUAGGUAAUCUACCC